UGCGUAGGCGGAAUAAUAAGUCAGGGGUGAAAGUUUGCAGCUCAACUGUAAAAUUGCCUUUGAUACUGUUAUUCUUGAGUACAUUUGAGGUAGGCGGAAUGUGUUGUGUAGCGGUGAAAUGCAUAGAUAUAACACAGAACACCGAUUGCGAAGGCAGCUUACUAAACUGUAACUGACGCUGAGGCACGAAAGCGUGGGUAUCGAACAGGAUUAGAUACCCUGGUAGUCC
rnacentral:rRNA from 1 species